GAUGAACGCUGGCGGCGUGCCUAAUACAUGCAAGUCGAGCGAACGGACGAGAAGCUUGCUUCUCUGAUGUUAGCGGCGGACGGGUGAGUAACACGUGGAUAACCUACCUAUAAGACUGGGAUAACUUCGGGAAACCGUAGCUAAUACCGGAUAAUAUUUUGAACCGCAUGGUUCAAAAGUGAAAGACGGUCUUGCUGUCACUUAUAGAUGGAUCCGCGCUGCAUUAGCUAGUUGGUAAGGUAACGGCUUACCAAGGCAACGAUGCAUAGCCGACCUGAGAGGGUGAUCGGCCACACUGGAACUGAGACACGGUCCAGACUCCUACGGGAGGCAGCAGUAGGGAAUCUUCCGCAAUGGGCGAAAGCCUGACGGAGCAACGCCGCGUGAGUGAUGAAGGUCCUCGGAUCGUAAAACUCUGUUAUUAGGGAAGAACAAAUGUGUAAGUAACUAUGCACGUCUUGACGGUACCUAAUCAGAAAGCCACGGCUAACUACGUG
rnacentral:rRNA from 1 species